GACGAACGCUGGCGGCGUGCUUAACACAUGCAAGUCGAACGGAAAGGCCCUGCUUUUGUGGGGUGCUCGAGUGGCGAACGGGUGAGUAACACGUGAGUAACCUGCCCUUGACUUUGGGAUAACUUCAGGAAACUGGGGCUAAUACCAGAUAGGAGCUCCUGCUGCAUGGUGGGGGUUGGAAAGUUUCGGCGGUUGGGGAUGGACUCGCGGCUUAUCAGCUUGUUGGUGGGGUAGUGGCUUACCAAGGCUUUGACGGGUAGCCGGCCUGAGAGGGUGACCGGCCACAUUGGGACUGAGAUACGGCCCAGACUCCUACGGGAGGCAGCAGUGGGGAAUAUUGCACAAUGGGCGGAAGCCUGAGGCAGAAACGCCGCGUGCGGGAUGACGGCCUUCGGGUUGUAAACCGCUUUCGCCUGUGACGAAGCGUGAGUGACGGUAAUGGGUAAAGAAGCACCGGCUAACUACGUG
rnacentral:rRNA from 1 species